UUGAUCCUGGCUCAGAAUCAACGCUGGCGGCGUGCCUAACACAUGCAAGUCGAACGCGAAAGCCCCGCAAGGGGUGAGUAGAGUGGCAAACGGGUGAGUUACACGUGGGUGACCUGCCUUCGAGUGGGGGAUAACGUCCCGAAAGGGAUUCUAAUACCGCAUAAUAUCCUGCCUUUUAAGAGGUGGACAUCAAAGCUGGUGACCGCAAGGCCUGGCGCUUGAAGAGGGGCCCGCGCCUGAUUAGCUAGUUGGUGGGGUAAUGGCUCACCAAGGCAACGAUCAGUAUCCGGCCUGAGAGGUCGGACGGACACACUGGGACUGAGACACGGCCCAGACUCCUACGGGAGGCUGCAGUGGGGAAUUGUUCGCAAUGGGCGAAAGCCUGACGACGCAACGCCGUGUGGAGGAUGAAGACCUUCGGGUCGUAAACUCCUUUCGAUCGAGACGAAUGGCCUCUGGGUGAACAGCCCGGAGGAGUGACGGUACCGAGAGAAGAAGCUCCGGCUAACUCCGUGCCAGCAGCCGCGGUAAUAAGGU
rnacentral:rRNA from 1 species